GACGAACGCUGGCGGCGGGCUUAACACAUGCAAGUCGAACGGAAAGGCCCUGCUUUUGUGGGGUUCUCGAGUGGCGAACGGGUGAGUAACACGUGAGUAACCUGCCCUUGACUUUGGGAUAACUUCAGGAAACUGGGGCUAAUACCGGAUAGGAGCUCCUGCUGCAUGGUGGGGGUUGGAAAGUUUCGGCGGUUGGGGAUGGACUCGCGGCUUAUCAGCUUGUUGGUGGGGGAGUGGCUUACCAAGGCUUUGACGGGUAGCCGGCCUGGGAGGGUGACCGGCCACCUUGGGACUGCGGUACGGCCCAGACUCCUACGGGAGGCAGCAGUGGGGAAUAUUGCACAGCGGGCGCAAGCCUGAUGCAGCAACGCCGCGUGCGGGAUGCCGGCCUUCGGGUUGUAAACCGCUUUCGCCUGUGACGAAGCGUGAGUGACGGUAAUGGGUAAAGAAGCACCGGCUAACUACGUG
rnacentral:rRNA from 1 species